rnacentral:lncRNA from 1 species
GGCAGCAAUACCGGGGAAUAAUUUCAGUAACAAUAAUCUUCACUAGCAUCCUCCCUAGAUGUCACAAAGGCAUCAUGCCAUCCACUAAACUGAUUAACUAUGACCAGUAAGUAUUGCUGUUUCUUACCAAUUUUGGAUACAUGAAUAAAAUCAAUCUGUAAGUGUGUAAAAAGAGCAGCGUUCACACGAUCUUACAAAAGACUGUACAUGCUGCCUGAGAUUCCUAAUAUAAAAUGAAUUCAUGAGGAAUUGAAUGGUGCUUGCUAUGUGCCUGACUGAUGAAAAUAAAGCAGCUUGCUUCAAGUAUGCCUAUUCUUCAAGUAUGCCUAUUCUCCCCUCUUUAGAGAACAGAUCAUUCUGAUCUUUCUCUAAACCUUAUUUAAUCCAAAAAACAGAUUGUGGGUAUUUAAAAAAAGAAUCUCAUAACUACUGAAGCGCUGGGCUGUCAUGUGUUGUGUGGUGAGAUUUGUUAUCAGCUGAGUGACCUGGUGACUGGCAUGAAGUAUUGUAGGAUGCCCUAGUGUGAUAGUAGUAGCAGUUUCAACAGCCAUUGCACAUGCUAUCAAUGCUCUGAGACACGCCGGCAUACCCUGUACCGGAGCUCGAACUACUUUGGAAAAGAAUGCUAUGGGACGCAUACCGCCUCCUUGCUCUUGUGCACAGACUGCGGCCAUGGUUUUACAAUUGUCCCAAGCAUACAAAUGAAAUGGUUUACAAUACACAGGUAGUCCUAAAGCCUGGGCUUGCACAAUAACAACUGUAAGGGCAAUAUAUGCAGCUAGCAUGUCUGGUGACCAGCAGACAUUUUCAGGGCUGUCAGAACGUACAGCCUCCCUUACGAUUGAGUCAUAAUGGGAGCAUUCAGGGAUCCAUUGGUGGCAGUAAUUAAUCAUGCCGAGGAAGGUGAGCAACUCCUUCCGAGUAGUGGGUGUUGGAAUCCUCUGAAUGACCUCAAU